rnacentral:rRNA from 1 species
GACGAACGCUGGCGGCGUGCCUAAUACAUGCAAGUAGAACGCUGAAGGAGGAGCUUGCUUCUCUGGAUGAGUUGCGAACGGGUGAGUAACGCGUAGGUAACCUGCCUGGUAGCGGGGGAUAACUAUUGGAAACGAUAGCUAAUACCGCAUAAGAGUAGAUGUUGCAUGACAUUUGCUUAAAAGGUGCAAUUGCAUCACUACCAGAUGGACCUGCGUUGUAUUAGCUAGUUGGUGAGGUAACGGCUCACCAAGGCGACGAUACAUAGCCGACCUGAGAGGGUGAUCGGCCACACUGGGACUGAGACACGGCCCAGACUCCUACGGGAGGCAGCAGUAGGGAAUCUUCGGCAAUGGACGGAAGUCUGACCGAGCAACGCCGCGUGAGUGAAGAAGGUUUUCGGAUCGUAAAGCUCUGUUGUAAGAGAAGAACGAGUGUGAGAUGUG